rnacentral:lncRNA from 1 species
CCACCAUCGCCGCCCUCGCGUCGACAGCAGCGCAGCCCAGUCAUCUCCUCCCUCUGUCGCGACCGGAAAAUCACAGCAGCAGUCAACACGAUAGCGCCGCCGCCGCCCCUGCACACGCAGCGGCGUUGAUGCUCCGGCGAGCAAUCCCUCCCCCAAACUUCAUCAAUUUUCCUUUUGUCCAUCUAGAUUUCUAAAUCUGAGUUUCUUUCUUGUAAAAAUCAGUGAAUAUGCAUUCUAUUCCAAUUUCUUAUG